CGCCUAGAACCGGAAGAUGAAAAAGCAGAAGGCAGAAACCUCAUGGCCAUCUGCUCUCUCAGUUCUCUCGUCUCAGUCGAUGGCUACCUGCACCUUUUGAAAAUGACAUGUUUGCAUCUUCUUCAAAGAAAAUUGUUUUCAAACCGAUAAAUUUAACAUAACUGUCUCCAUCAUUCAAAUGCUUCAUUUGAACAUCAAACCAGCAGGGCAGAAAAGAAACAAAGCAAGAAAACAUGGUUUUGUCUUCUCUCAGUUCUGCCACUCUCGCUGCUGGUAACUGUUUCUACUGCAGUUGUGACUAAGGUGUGAACUUCACAAAUAAGAAUGAAAUCAACAACAGGGAGAAACUAAAGGAAGUAUAAAAGACUAAAGUGAAUGUGGUAGAGCUUCCAGAAGUCAGAGGAAUUAAACAUGGGCAUCUUUCCAAAUAACACACUUGU